rnacentral:rRNA from 1 species
AAAAGUUGAAAAUGUAAUUGCAAAAUUUGACACACGUGCUACAAUGGCCGGGACAAAGGGUCGCGAUCCCGCGAGGGUGAGCUAACCCCAAAAACCCGUCCUCAGUUCGGAUUGCAGGCUGCAACUCGCCUGCAUGAAGCCGGAAUCGCUAGUAAUCACCAAUCAGCCAUACGGCGGUGAAUUCGUUCCC